UACGUAGGCAGCAAGCGUUGUUCGGAGUUACUGGGCGUAAAGGGUGUGUAGGCGGUUUUUUAAGGUUGGUGUGAAAUCUCCCGGCUCAACUGGGAGGGUGCGCCGAAUACUGAAAGACUAGAGUGCGGGAGAGGAAAGUGGAAUUCCUGGUGUAGCGGUGAAAUGCGUAGAUAUCAGGAGGAACACCGGUGGUGUAGACGGCUUUCUGGACCGUAACUGACGCUGAGACACGAAAGCGUGGGUAGCAAACAGG
rnacentral:rRNA from 1 species